rnacentral:misc_RNA from 1 species
GAUGAAGAACGCAGCGAAAUGCGAUAAGUAAUGUGAAUUGCAGAAUUCAGUGAAUCAUCGAAUCUUUGAACGCACAUUGCGCCCGCCAGUAUUCUGGCGGGCAUGCCUGUUCGAGCGUCAUUUCAACCAUCAAGCCCUGCUUGCGUUGGGGUCCUGCGGCUGCCCGCAGGCCCUGAAAACCAGUGGCGGGCUCGCUAGUCACACCGAGCGCAGUAAUACAUCUCGCUUUGGGCGUGCGGCGGGCUCUUGCCGUUAAACACCCCCUUUUUACCAAGGUUGACCUCGGAUCAGGUAGGAAUACCCGCUGAACUUAAGCAUAUCAAUAAGCGGAGGA